UACGUAGGGUGCAAGCGUUAAUCGGAAUUACUGGGCGUAAAGCGUGCGCAGGCGGUUUUGUAAGACUGUCGUGAAAUCCCCGGGCUUAACCUGGGAAUGGCGAUGGUGACUGCAAGGCUAGAGUUUGGCAGAGGGGGGUAGAAUUCCACGUGUAGCAGUGAAAUGCGUAGAUAUGCGGAGGAACACCGAUGGCGAAGGCAGCCCCCUGGGUCAAAACUGACGCUCAUGCACGAAAGCGUGGGGAGCAAACAGG
rnacentral:rRNA from 1 species